CCUACGGGAGGCAGCAGUGAGGAAUAUUGGUCAAUGGGCGCGAGCCUGAACCAGCCAAGUAGCGUGAAGGAUGACUGCCCUACGGGUUGUAAACUUCUUUUAUAAAGGCAUAAAGUGAGGCACGUGAGCCUUUUUGUAUGUACUUUAUGAAUAAGGAUCGGCUAACUCCGUGCCAGCAGCCGCGGUAAUACGGAGGAUACGAGCGUGAUACGGAUUUAUUUGGUUUAAAGGGAGCGUAUAUGGGUUGUUAAGUCAGUUGUGAAAGUUUGCGGAUCAACCGUAAAAUUGCAAUUGAUACUGGCAGUCUUGAGUACAGUUGAGGUAGGCGGAAUUCGUGGUGUAGCGGUGAAAUGCUUAGAUAUCACGAAGAACUCCGAUUGCGAAGGCAGCUUACUAAACUGCCACUGACAUUGAUGCUCGAAAGUGUGGGUAUCAAACAGGAUUAGAUACCCGUGUAGUC
rnacentral:rRNA from 1 species